UUACACAUAGAGUCAUGAGUAAUAAUUGGUGCCAUUGACGUAGCGUUUAGGAAUAGUAUAAAUAUCAAAUACAAGUACUAUAUUUAGAUAAAGCAGAUUUUACAAAAUAGUCUGCAAGUUUAUUAAUAGAUGGCAAAUUCAUACUGAAAAUUGGUUAGAUAAUAAAUUUCUUAGAGAACUUGUAUGAAAAUAGUAAGCAUGCCGAUUGGUUUAUAUAUUGAAGCGAAGUGAAUCUUUUAAUAUUAUUAUUUAUAAUAGUAAUAAAUUAUUACAACCGAUGUAAACUCUAAUGAUAUGAUUUUUAUAAUUCUAAAUAUAGUACAAUAAUAUAUUUAAUCAGCAUCUGAGUGAGAAAUUGUACGAUAGUGCUAUUAUUAUAAAAAAAUUAUCUUGUAACCAAUUAUAAUAAAAAAGUUUAGUACAGAUCAUAUUUAAUGCUAACCGGGGAGCCAACUUCGUGCAGCUAACCCUGGCGGUUUUGAAUCAGCCUGGAAACACCCUGGGAGUGGAAACACGGUGGAUCCAGCGUGGUUACAGGGUGGGUUUGUGCCAUUUUAUCACCGUGUAUAUACGAUGGUUAUACCCACCGUGAUUCCACAGUGUAUCCACGGUGAUUACGCGGUGUACAUGGAAUCACGGUGAGUACACCGUAUAACCAUAGUGGAAUCAUGGUGGUUACACCGUGUAACCAUCGUGGAAUCACGUUGAGAAAAUGACAAAAAACCCACCGUGUAACUGCUCAUUAGUAAAAGGAGCCUUUUGAACCUCCACAUAUAAUCCAUAUUGACAUAACGCCAUCUGUGACUGUUGGAAAGAAUCUAGUUAUUUACAACUUGGCACUCAACAUUUUAGAGUUGAUUAAUAGUAAUCAAAUAAAUAUUGCUAUAACGCUAUAAAUUUUCUUUUGCAAAAAAAAACUUCGAUAAUUAAAAUUACUAAGAAUUAAUUUUAAUCCGUAUUCUAAGGACACUUAUUGUAAAUUAAGUUUGUAAAAUAUGUUUUACUGUUAAUUAAAUCAAAUAUCAAUAUGGCCGCUCAGAUGUUCAAUGAUGAUACUCUCAAGCAAUUAUUACUUGAUGAUGUGAGGCUCGAGUAUAAUUGGAGUGACACAGAUAGUGAAGGUUAUAAUGCCAACACUGAGGACCUUGUAGAAAAAUUGAAUCAAGUUUCACUUUUUACACCAAAUAAAUCUCAGUCAGCUCAAUAUUAGAAAAUUGCACAUGAUGGGAUUGAAGUAAAUUCUAACCAAUCCAUUAAUGCUGAAGCUGAGAGUGAGAAUCCAGUCUCAGAAUUGGAAAAAUCUAACGUUGAUCGUUUUUCUUUGUUUUUUGAUGACAAAGUUCUGACAGCUGUAGUAAAGAGCACGAACACAUAUAUAUCUGUUGUUCGUUUACAUUCAUCCGGAAAACGUGAUUGUCAAAACGUCGAUCUUGAAGAAAUUAAGGUUUUCAUUGGUCUUAUAAUAUUAGCAGGAUUGCUCAAGUUCAAUUUCGAAUUCGAUGAUUUAUGGGAAAAAGGUGGACUUGGUGCAGAAGUUUUUAGGUUAACGAUGAGUUUGCGAAGAUUUAAGUUUCUAAUAAAAUAUGUAAACUUCACUAAUUCGAGCGAAUUCAAAACUUUUAAUCAAAAUAAUGAUUCUAAUGAAAUUGAAAUGAUAUUAGGGGCGUUUAUUAAAAAUUGUAAACAAAAUUUUGAAACAAGUUCUAAUAUCACCAUAAGCAGAAAAUAUUUAAUAUAAAAAACUAAAUCUGUUGAGACGUUGCCUGUCUAAAGAGUUUUAUUAUUUACUACACUAAAUACAAUCAUACAUUAUCCCGAAAAGAAUUUUUGAAGCGGCUUGGAUUGGAACUCGUAAAAUAUCAGAUAAAAAAGAGGGCUACCUGUCAGUACUUAUCACGAGAAUUACGUGAUGAAGCUGCGAAUUAUUUGUCCCUCAAAUGUGCACCGAAAACUUUUGACAAAAAAAAGAUAAGCCUCUCAGGUGCAUUGUUUGCCCUCGAAAGGCAGAUAAAAAAGGUCGCUCGUUUUGCUCUAGAUGUGAGAAACCGAUCUGUCAAAAUCAUUCAAUUUUAUUGUGUACUGAUUGUAUAGAUGAUUCAUAAAAAAAAAUUGACAUUUACGUCUGUUUCUACCUUACAGUCUUUUUGCAGUCUACUAUUUAUCUCAAAAAAUUGUAAAAAAAUAACAAUAAGGAUGUUGAGAAUAACAAAAAUAAUAUUAAUAUUUUGCUUGAUACCGUCGAAAAUAGCAAAGUCCAAUUAAUAUUUCUUUAACAUUAACAUAUUUUAUUUUUUAUCAACGAAAUCUACCUAUAUAUGAAGUAAAAUUUAAUUUUUCUAAUCAUCAAGCUAUUAAGCAUAAUAAUUCCAAAGUCUUCGAUAAAUAUUGUAUUUUAUGAACUCCAUUUUCGAUAAAUGAAUCAUAUUAUAGUCAUUCAUUCUAUUAUAAACCAUGCAUUCUUUCUUUUAAGCGGACAAUUUCAUGUCUAUCGAUGUCUAUUGGAAAAAAACCGCAACAUGACGAUGAGCAACACAUAAAUACUCAAAAAAUUAGCAUUGGAAUCGAAUCCAUACAAAACCUAUCAAUAAUCAUCAAAAUUGACUGCGAGAAUCUAUCUCUUCAAUUGGCGGCCAAAAAUGGCAUACAACGGAAUUUCGAGUUUGCACUGUUUGUUCGUGAUAGAAAUCAUGUAGAAGUGCAUUAAUUUCAUUAAAAACUUUGAUAUUUAACGAAACUUAAAAAUUAUUCUCACUUUUAAGCGGACAAUUUCAUGUCUAUCGAUGUCUAUUGAAAAAAAAAAAAAAAACACAGCAUGACGAUGAGCAACACAUAAAUAUUAAAAAAAUUCGAAUUGAAAUCAGAUCCAUAUGAAUCCUAUCAAUAAUCAUCCGAAUUGACUGCGAGAAUUUAUUUCUUCAAUUGGCGGUCCAAAAUGGCACGCAUUAGAAUUUUAAGUUUGCACUGUUUGUUCGUGAUAGAAAUCACGUAGAAGUGCAUAAUUUUUAUUACAAACAUUGAUAUUUAAGGAAUUUUGAGAAUUUUCGUGUCUUUAAAGCGGAUAAUUUCAUGUCUAUCGAUGUCUAUUGGAAAAAAACCGCAGCAUGACGAUGAGCAACACAUAAAUACUCAAAUAAUUAGCAUUGGAAUCGAAUCCAUACGAAACCUAUCAAUAAUCAUCUAAACUGACUGCUAGAAUCUAUCUCUUCAAUUGGCGGCCAAAAAUGACAUACAGCGGAAAUUCGAGUUUGCACUGUUUGUUCGUGAUAGAAAUCAUGUAGAAGUGCAUAAUUUUCAUUACAAAUAUUGAUAUUUAGCGAAAUUUAAGGAUUUUCUUCUUUUUUAUGCGGACAAUAUCAUAUUUAUCGAUGUCCAUCAAAAAUAUUUAUAUCAAAUAAAAUUCCAAGUUAGGUAUCAAUUACUAACCCUGAUUAAUCUGAGAACGAAUUAAAGAACGUUAAAAGUAUAAAGUAACCUAAAAGGUUUCUAUAGGAAAGUUUUGUUCUUACAUUUCGCCGGCUAAUUAAAUUAUAACAAUAAGAAGCAGAAUACAGAUUUUAUAAAAAUUAAUUAAUUUUUCAAGCCUAACAAUACCUAUAGGGAAAUCAAAUCGAUUCUUUUCUAAUGUCAAGAAAAUAAUAAAAUCAAAAAAUAUUCGAAUCGAAAACCAAAAGUAAACUUAUCAAUCAUUAUAUUGUAUAUUAAUUCAAUUAAUCUGUGUUUGGAAUAUUUUUGAUAAAAUGCAUUUAAAAUGCUAUAAAUAAUUAUAAUAUUAUUUACCUGUACUAAACUUUUUUAUUAUAAUUGGUUACAAGAUAAUUUUUUUAUAAUAAUAGCACUAUCGUACAAUUUCUCACUCAGAUGCUGAUUAAAUAUAUUAUUGUACUAUAUUUAGAAUUAUAAAAAUCAUAUCAUUAGAGUUUACAUCGGUUGUAAUAAUUUAUUACUAUUAUAAAUAAUAAUAUUAAAAGAUUCACUUCGCUUCAAUAUAUAAACCAAUCGGCAUGCUUACUAUUUUCAUACAAGUUCUCUAAGAAAUUUAUUAUCUAACCAAUUUUCAGUAUGAAUUUGCCAUCUAUUAAUAAACUUGCAGACUAUUUUGUAAAAUCUGCUUUAUCUAAAUAUAGUACUUGUAUUUGAUAUUUAUACUAUUCCUAAACGCUACGUCAAUGGCACCAAUUAUUACUCAUGACUCUAUGUGUAAACUCCUUUAUGAAUUUUUGGUAAUAUCCCCGCUUUCCCCUUUACUAUCACUGCCGCCAACCUUGUAAAUUUUGCAGCCAUUUUGUUGGCAAAGUGUCCC